rnacentral:tRNA from 1 species
GUGGGUGUAGCUCAGUCGGUUAGAGCGUCGGGUUGUGGCCCCGAAGGUCGCCGGUUCGAAUCCGGUCACUCACCCCA